rnacentral:rRNA from 1 species
GAUGAACGCUAGCGGCAGGCUUAAUACAUGCAAGUCGUGGGGCAGCAGGAGUAGCAAUACUUGCUGGCGACCGGCAAACGGGUGCGGAACACGUACACAACCUUCCUUCAAGCGGGGAAUAGCCCAGAGAAAUUUGGAUUAAUACCCCAUAAUAUAUAGUAUAGGCAUCUAUAAAAUAUUAAAGCUUCGGCACUUGAUGAUGGGUGUGCGUAUGAUUAGGUAGUUGGUGAGGUAAUGGCUCACCAAGCCUACGAUCAUUAGCUGAUGUGAGAGCAAGAUCAGCCACACGGGCACUGAGACACGGGCCCGGCUCCUACGGGAGGCAGCAGUAAGGAAUAUUGGACAAUGGGCGAAAGCCUGAUCCAGCCAUGCCGCGUGAAGGAUUAAGGUCCUCUGGAUUGUAAACUUCUUUUAUAUGGGACGAAAAAAGGCAAUUCUUUGUCACUUGACGGUACCAUAUGAAUAAGCACCGGCUAACUCCGUGCCAGCCGCCGCCGUAAGAC